CUCUAUUUUUACCUCUUAUUUUUUUAGUAUCAAACAACAAUGAAACCAGUUGAUUUUUAUGAUAAAAAACUUAAUGGUAGAUUAAGUUUUAACAAAAGGAUAAGACAUAAGACGAUCUGUAUUCGGAUAUCAACUAACUGAUAGGGAGACUAGGGCUGUUCAAAAAGCUCGUGGCUCGGAGCUCGCUCGGAUUUAGCUUGGAAAAAACUCGCUCGAUAUGGCUCGGUUUAAAAGUGAGCCGAGCCGGCUCGGCUCGGUUAGAAAGUGAGCCUAGCUCGGCUCUUUACGAGCCGAGUUGGCUCGGUUUGGCUCACUUUGUAGCUCGGCUCGGUUUAGCUUGGAUUAUUUUACUUAUAAUAAAUUUUAAUUUUAUAUACAUUAUAGUAUAUUACAAAAAAACUGAUUACUAUUUACAUGUAUAUACGUUUGUAAUUUGAUAUCUAUAGCAUAUUUGAAGGUUGAUUACCAUACUAAUGAACUAAUAUUGUAUUUCAUUGAAAUUAACACUUAUUUUGCGUUCUUGAACUUGAUUUUGGUUUGUAAUGUAUUUGGUUGAAUUUAUUUUGAAUAUAUUUUUUAAAGUAUUGAAUAAUAUUUUAGGCUGCUGAAUUUUAAAAGGUAUAUAUUAAUGUUUUUUAUAAAAUCGAGCCAAAUUAAGCCGAGCCGAGCCAGCUCGAUUUAAAACCAAGCCGAGCCCUAGCUUAGAUUUUCAGCUCGGUUUCAAAAACGAGCCGAGCCGAGCCAGAUCGGUUUAUAAUCGAGCCGAGCUCGAGCUUGGCCUGGCUCGGCUUGGCUUGGCUCAUGAACAGCCCUAAGGGAGACUAGUCUAAGACUAUAUGAACGCAUGAAAACGUUGUGAAAGUUGCGUUUUUAUAUAAAAGAAAUAAACAAGAAAUAAUCAAAAUCAAUACAAAACCCUCCAACCAAUGAAGAGCCGCUACCUCCUUUACCUUAAGCCCCUAUGCCAGUGAAGAAUCCCCACCCUCCCCACAACGCCAACCGUGGGUGGUGUUUCCGGCGCUGUGUGGGUUCUUUACAUAUUUCCCCCUCCUAAACCAUGCGUAGUCGUUGGUGUGAAUAAUGCCCCACCCUAGGACGUUUUGCGCCAUGUGGCAGCCCAGUCAUCAAUGGGGCAUUAUUGGACGUUUUUACAAAAUGGGUGUUGUGGGGAUUGGAGCAUUAUGUUAAAUGAGAUGUAAAAUAAUUAAAUAAAACAAAAACCCUCAAAAAAAUCUUAUUGGAUAACAAAAAUGGAGACGGAAGGUGAUUGGACAAGGAGAAGGGGGCAAGACGUGUUUCAAAAAACGCCAAGGGGGCUUUUUUCGCGAAUAAUGCCCAAUAACGCCGGGGUGUAAUGGUUUGGGGGCGUGAUCUGCGUUUUUUUUUUAUUUUUUAUAAAAAAACGCGCCAUUACGGGCGGUCUAAGAGGGCUUAUUACAUAUUUUCCUAAACAAAAAAUUCAAUUUCAUAUUUCUCUUCUCUAACCCAUAUAUAUUACAUAUUUUCCUUUGCUAACCCUUAUAUAUUACAUAUUUCCUCUUUUCAUUAAAAAUACUAUCAAGGAAUUAUUAUUUUACACUUAACUUAAUGAACUUAUAAAAUGAAUAGUUACAUAUUUCUUCAUCCCAAUAUCAUGAAUUACAUAUUUCCCCGUGUAUAUCUCCCUAUUUCUUUCACUUGCUACCAUUCUCAAACAAUACCAUA
rnacentral:lncRNA from 1 species